rnacentral:misc_RNA from 1 species
GGCAGGAGGAGUUACUGAAUCGGUUAUCUAAGUCUGAUGAUUCGCAUGGUUCCCAGUUUCUAAUCUCUCAUUCACAGUCUGAUCAGGACCAGAUUCCAGAUUCCAUUGUCAAAUUGCAAGAUAGCAGUAAUUACGAAUCUGAAAAUUCCAUUCCCAUGGAAAAACCAUCACAUACUGCUACUAAAGUCAGGAAUGAUGGGCUUUCCCAAUGUCAAGAUGGCAGAAACAUUAAUG